rnacentral:rRNA from 1 species
GGCCGGGAUAGCCCAGGGAAACCUGGAUUAAUACCGGAUGAGACGGGACCCGCGAUGGCGGGACCCGGGAAAGGCGCUGCGGCGCCGCCGGGGGAUGAGUCUGCGUCCAUUAGCUAGACGGCGGGGUAACGGCCCACCGUGGCGACGAUGGGUAGCCGGCCUGAGAGGGUGGACGGCCACAUUGGAACUGAGACACGGUCCAGACUCCUACGGGAGGCAGCAGCUAAGAUCUUCCGCAAUGGGCGAAAGCCUGACGGAGCGACGCCCGCGUGAACGAAGAAGGCCGUGAGGUUGUAAAGUUCUUUUCGGGAGGGGGAACAACCGUGGCAGGGAAUGGCCGCGGGAUGACGUGAAUCCCGGAAUAAGCCCCGGCUAACUACGUGCCAGCAGCCGC